rnacentral:ncRNA from 1 species
GUCAUCUAUUUUCCGUUCCUUGCUUCCAGUGGCUGACUAGGGCCCAUGGUCGGAAGCUGAUUAAUCCGUAAGGAGCAACAAAUG